GAGAGCACAGUAUGAUGAAAGUUGUAGGCUGUGUUUGGGGGGGGAGUUAUUGUCUAUCAUUGGCCUCUAUGGUAGAACCCGUUGGGGAGGCCUGAGAGGCGGUGGUUUACCCUGU
rnacentral:ncRNA from 1 species